GGCGAUCAGAUACCGCCCUAGUUCUGACUGUAAACGAUGCCAACUAGCGAUCCGCCAGUCGACUCAUCGCUCUGGUGGGGAGCUUCCCGGAAACGAAAGUCUUCCGGUUCCGGGGGAAGUAUGGUUGCAAAGCUGAAACUUAAAGGAAUUGACGGAAGGGCACCACCAGGAGUGGAGCCUGCGGCUUAAUUUGACUCAACACGGGGAAACUCACCCGGCCCGGACACCGUAAGGAUUGACAGAUUGAUAGCUUUUUCAUGAUUCGGUGGAUGGUGGUGCAUGGCCGUUCUUAGUUCGUGGAGCGAUUUGUCUGGUUUAUUCCGAUAACGAGCGAGACUCUGGCCUACUAAAUAGUUGGCACAUUGCCACUGUGUGCACAACUUCUUAGAGGGAUUUUCGGUGUUCAGCCGCACGAAAUUGAGCAAUAACAGGUCUGUGAUGCCCUUAGAUGUCCGGGGCUGCACGCGCGCUACACUGGCAAAAUCAGCGUGCUUGUCCUCCCCCGAAAGGGGUUGGUAAACCGAUGAAAAUUUGCCGUGAUUGGGAUUGGACAUUGCAAUUAUUGUCCGUGAACGAGGAAUUCCUUGUAGGGGCGAGUCAUCAACUCGUCCCGAAUACGUCCCUGCCCUUGUA
rnacentral:rRNA from 1 species